GCGCACACACACACACGCCACACACACGCAAGGAGAGGGAGGAAGAGAACUCUCCUUUCUCUCUCUAAAUCUCUCCCAAAAGAGAGGGUUUUGGUGGCGAUUGAAGCUCAAGGAUGGAUUUUCAUCUUUCCCAUCUUCUUCCUUGAAUGAGAAGCAAGCUUUGAAGGUAAGCUCCAAAACCCUUUAAUGGUAUCUCCUUGUAGUUUGGGUUUUAAGCUUCAAGAAUGGAUUUAGAGCUAUUCUAGCAUGCUAAAUAGGUGAUUGUUGCUUAAAUCAUGGAUCAAUUUAAUGAUUUCUUGCCUAGUUGUAAAUCUAGAACUUGAAAUGAGCUUUUUGAACCCUCUCAUGGUAGAUCUUUAAAGCUUCAUUUAUAAUCCAUAGAAAUGGUAUAUUUGGAAUCCUAGCAUGCUAAAUAGAGGAUAAAUACUAGAAUCUAGGAUCAAUUUAGUUAACUCUUGCAAUAGAUGAAACCUAGGGUUCAAAAUGCAAUUUUUGGAAAUAUGAGGGUUUGAUCUCAUUUGACCCUUUAUAAACAUAAUUGCUAGGUAAACGAACGCGCUGGCGAAGUCGGUUCGGCGAUUCGUCGAGCCGGUACGAAGUUAUUAAAGAAACGGACGUUUAGGCUUCAUUUCCGCCUGCAGGGCUGAGCGACAUCGUAUACUCAUGAAAACGGAUUUGAAGCAUCGUGGCACGGAUCGGGCCAAACCGGAUGCCGGGUGCCGCGGGAGGCCGAUUGCAAGUGUCGACAAGUAAUCGGAUUGCGAAAUGAGGUGGGUUGUGCUCAUCGAAGCGACUAGGUCGCCUAUAUAUCUAAGAGUAAUGGUUUUCUAAUUGAUGCAUAUAGUUUAUGUUAUUUACUGUUGAGAUAAAAUGCAUAAUGACAUAUAAUGUGUUAAAUGCUAGAUGAAUGCAUGAGUUAAUUGUCACAUGAAUGCAUGAAAAUAAUGUUAUAGUAAUAUGUUAGAGGUAAUAUGCAUGUUGAUAAAUUAUGGAACAUGUUGGAUGGCAUAUGAAUAGUUGGUAUAUAUAUGUAGACAUAUUGUGGAAUAUGAUGAAUGAGUGCAUGUUGAUUUAUUGUAGAAUAUACAAGAUGAAUGUAUAUUGACAUAUUGUGGAUUAUGUUAAAUGACACAUGCAUGUUGAACUUGGAUCGAUAAACUCUAGGUGAAUUAGAGAACUCGACAUUGGAAAACAAUGACAUAUGAACUAUGAUAUGUGACGUGGACAAUCUAUAUAUAUUAGAUCGAAUGGCAUAUGAUUAGUAUAGUGGAAACACUUAUGGCAUGUUGAACACUUAGAAAAUACGUGUGUCAUGAGUCCAAGAAUAUAGUAGUGCAUAUGACACAAAUGAUAGUAAAAAAUGCAAAGAAAAGAAUGAUUGAAAUAUUAUGACAUUUUAAUCCUAGAGUUUAGGGUCAUUUGAGCAUAGUCUUCCUAAAGUUAAGGAAUUGAUUAAACUUGGAGUCCUCAAAUGUAGGAUUGAUCAUACUCACUUUUAGUCCUUGCUCGAGGUUGUGGUAGCUCCCCCUCGGGCGAUGUGCUCCGGAGACAACAUCACUGGGUAUAGCGAGUAUCUCCCCAGAGGACCGUCCCAUCGGGUGUAGCGAGUAUCUCCCCGAUUAUUGGGAUUUUGAGUUGGUGAGUUUGUUGAGGGCGAAAUCUUCGGGUUAGCCAAGAGAUUGGGUAACAAGCACAUGAGUUGUAGCAAUAUCCUAGUUGAGUGGACUUAAGGCUGAGGUGCAAGUGAGACGUCCUUCGCCUCGAGCCUGGCUUUACGCGGUACUCCGCGAAUGAUUGACUCGAGACCGAGUCGGGUGGAUAGUUGAUAAAGGUAAAUGGGACCAUAUGAUCAGAAUUGUAAUUAAUAUGAAUUUAAAAUAGUGGAAUAACUUCGAAGUCAAUUAAAUGAGCUUUGAAUAGCAGGAUUAAAGUAGUAUCGAUUGAACUACUAAUUGGUUGCAUAAAUCGCAUGAUUUUCAUAUUGCAUGGUUGUGAGGCAUGACAUGUAUUUCAAUUAUCAUAUAUAUAUAUAUAUAUAUAUAUAUAUAUAUAUAUGUGUUGGAUAUUUGUUGGACUAACAUGUUGCAGUGCCUCCUUGGACCUGUGGGUCGAGCUCUUCCCUUGGGUGGUCGUACCCACUGGGAACAUAUUUAUAUAGUUAUCACCCCUGUGUUGUUUUUGGGGGUACAGGUUCCCACGUGAGGGGCGCGGCGGCGCGAGGAGAGGGCGUAGCUCCGUAGAUAGCGCCCUACCACCGAGACCAGAGAUAGCGGUACCCUGAGUCGGCCUUUACUUAGGGAUGUAAGAAAACGAAAAGAAUCAAGUUGUAAUAAUUUUGAUUGUAUUUGGAAGUUAAAUGUAAUAAGUAUUUGUGAUGUAAAAUGUAUCUAGUGAUUGAGAAUGCUUGUAAUAGCAAGUAGAUUAUGUUAUUGAUCCUU
rnacentral:lncRNA from 1 species